rnacentral:tRNA from 1 species
CAAAAUGUAGUGUACACAAAACACUUCGCUUACACCGAAGAGACAUCCGUUAAACCAGAUCAUUUUGA